rnacentral:lncRNA from 10 species
CAAGGGGGAAAUGAAGGUGAAGAGAACUUCUCAGAGAAGAUAUGGAAACUAACAUCAUACAGCUAAUGAAAGUCAGAACUUGAGCUCUCACCCAGGACACACAAGUGAAGAACAAUGAAUAAGAGGAUGAAACAAUUAAUAUGGGUGCAAACAUUUCAUCAUUAAUUUUUAAGGGAUUUUUAAAGAAAAGCUAGUAAAAUUUCCGUGUCAAACAACAUGCUUUAAGAAAAGAGAAACCUCUUUGGCUGGUAACUGUGUCUUCAGCCCUUCAGACAAGACAUGCUCGAGGAAAAAAACGGCAGUAGUUGCAGCACCGACAUAGACCCCAGCCUUGGUUUAAUUGUCAUUUUCUCAUGAAUCUGAAAACAGCCUUUUCACCUUGAAAGAGGAAAGUCGGCAAAUAACACACGUGUUAUGAGACUUGAAACUUUCCCAUUAAACGUACUGUGUUUUUUAACCUGUAAUUAUAACAAUUUUCCUUUUAAAUCUUGUCUAGAGCUGAAUCUUUUAUUCUUUUGGAAAUUGGGUAAAUGUUUAAUACUAGAAGACAUAAUCUCUUAGCUUUGUAGGUGAAGAAACUGUGAUCCAAGGAGUAAAACAAUUUACUCAAGGUCACAUAUUUAGUCAUUGUAAAGCACCUACCACAACACUUCACACAUAACAUGUUUACAAUAAAGAGAAAAU